rnacentral:rRNA from 1 species
AGCGAACGCUGGCGGCAGGCCUAACACAUGCAAGUCGAACGCCCCCUUCGGGGGAGUGGCGGACGGGUGAGUAACGCGUGGGAAUGUGCCCUUUGGUACGGAACAACUGAGGGAAACUUCAGCUAAUACCGUACGUGCCCCCUGUCCUUAACGGGAUGGGUGGGAAAGAUUUAUCGCCAUAGGAGCAGCCCGCGUUGGAUUAGGUAGUUGGUGGGGUAAAGGCCUACCAAGCCUACGAUCCAUAGCUGGUCNGAGA